CGGCGGCGGGGGCUGCGGCUCGGCCGCUCGGAGCGCCGCGCCGCCUCCGCGCGCAGCCGGGCGAGGUGCCGCAGUGCAGAGGGCCGGCGUCCCGGCCGCCGCACGACCCCCCUCCGGCGCCGGAACGAGGCCCCCGAGACCCCACCUCUCCGUCCUUCAGGAGGGUCCCACCGCAAAACGUUAGGAAAGGCUGUAAAAUCUCCCUAAGACCUUGAGGGAAGAUUCUGAGAACCCCGAAUAUCGGAAAGAGGUGUGCCACUCAACUUUCUCCUUGUAAGGACAGUGACCUUCGAGGACAAGAACAGCAUGGGAGUCAGUGCUGAUCCUUAGACCCAGCCCCAACGAACUGGCUUUUAUUUCAUUCUUGAAUAAGGAGCCAAAGCUUGGAAAUUCCCAGUCCAGACUCUGACCAUCAGUGACCAUAGCUUCUCUUCCUAAACUACCUAGACCAUAAUACUCAGCACAGCCCAGAGAUUCAUGGGGUGAGACUCCGGACUUCUAUCAUCUCCAGCAGGCUGAGCUAGUCUCUCCAUUGACUCCAUUUUAAUGUCUUCCAUACACCGAUUAACUAUAGCAGCUAAGUCCCUGAGAAAUAACUUAUAAGCUAUCUCUUUCCUCUUUUAUAAAAGAGGUGGGUCUCACAGAUCAAGCAGGUCUCUUAAAUGAAUGCAAUGAUGCCCCAGCUUCAGCCUCCCGGGUGCUUGGGACCACAGGCACAUGCUACUGCAUGUAUCUUCCCUCUUAAAAGUCAGAUUAGCUUGAGAAGAACAAACUGUCCUAUUUCUUUCAGUUAGGCCAAUUCCCUACUUCCUAGGCUGCUUAUUCAUGGUUAGAGGAAGAAUCCAGAACAUUAAGUCACUAACGCAAACUGGAAACAAUAGUUUUCUUUUGAGCCCUGAAGGUCCAGAUUAGAGAAACAUGAGGCUGUGCCAAAGUCCCCAGAGAAAGCAGUUGAACUGUAUGAGGCCAGAUUCGAGAAUCAGUUCAAACUCCCAAGCGGCAAGGGCUGAGCCGGCAGAGCCCAAGAUCCUCUCAGCUGACAGUAAUCCCAGGCCAGGACACGAGCACCAGCAACCCCAAUACACUGUUGUUCAUUCCUCCUGCUCAAGCCCACCCAAGGGACAGACAGAUGACACAACAAGAGGAAGGCUGGCACUGAUGCUCUUUGUCUGUGUGAUUGACAUUCUCUUAGAAGGAAAACACCAAUCAGAGAACCCGGAAACCACAGCAGAAGACCAUGGCAAGCCCUGCCCACAAAAGAGCAGAGAUGAGGAAACAGAGAUACAGGAGGAUAUUUAAUUUACAUAGCAGCCACAUGGGGCCCUGUCAAGCUGGGCAGCGGGCUCCUUGCACACCAGGCGGAUGAAGCGCUCAUCAUGGGAUACCAGGAUUACGCCACCCUGAAAGACAGAACAGAAGUGCUCAAGGGAACAGGUAUCAAAGGAUGUAGAGCCCUAGGGAAGAACAGUCGGGCAAGAACAUGCUCACCCUGAAGUUGUUGAGAGCGUGGCCCAAAGCUUCAAUUGUCUCCAUGUCUAGGUGGUUUGUGGGUUCAUCCAGGAUAUAGAAGUUGGGGCUGGAAGGCAGAACACACGUUACAGGAUGGAAGAAAAUUAAUUCCUUGGCACAAAGAACAAUCAUUUUGUACGGGACAAGAAGGGGAAAUAAGAAGGCAAGAACCCACAAAUAUUAAGCUCACCAAGGCAUGGUCAUCUGAGCAAAGGCUACCCUGCUCUUCUGGCCCCCAGAUAAGCUUGCAACAGGACGCAUGGCCAGUUCUCCAGAGAUGCCAUACCGGCCCAAUUGGUGACGAUAUUCCUCUUCAGGUCGCCCUGGAAAAGGCCCCCACAUCAGAUAAGCUCUUGGCCCAACUCCUUUGCUGCAUCCGAUACUCACCUUUUCAAUGUCCAUCGACUUAGGCAGGCUGCUUUAUACUGACCCAAGACAGGCCUAGGCGCAAGGAUCAGCUAAAAUGCUCUUAUCCCUAACAUACCUGGAAACUUGCGAGCCAGGAGUUCCACAGCACUGACAUUCAAGUCUAGCUGUUCCACAUGGUGCUGGCUGAAAUAGCCUAUCUUCAGAUUCCUGGAGGCAAAAAUGAAGGUUGGUCAGCUGUGGCCUCUCUGAGAGGCUGUAACUGCAGACACUCAUAACUGGCAAAGUGCUGAAGACAAGUGACUGUUGAGUGCUCAGCCAUAAACAGAUGAAACAUUCCCUCAAGGGCUAGCAAACGUGUGGAAAUAGAGCAAACCCCAUUCUAUAUAAUGAAAACACACUAAUAGAAGGAGUAGUAUAAUCAACUUUAUGUUGAAUGUGGUAAAGUACCACAACCCUACCACUUAGGAGGUUGAAGCCAGCAUACACAAACAUUUUGUGUUAUGUAGGGACUCAACAAAAUGAUAAAAAUUAACUUAAAAUCUGUCCCUCUUGCACAACUAAAUGCUUGGAGAAAACUCAGACUUGCAUGCCCUUUAGCUGGCCAACACUCUUCUAGCUCACUAUCUGUUAUGAAAGAGAAUCAUCUUUUUGUAGCUUAAAACAAACAAAGAAACAAACAAAGGGCAUGAACAGGCCUGGAGAGAUGACUCAGUAGUUAAGAGCACUGCCUGUUCUUCCAGACCUAGGUUCAACUGCCAGCACCCACAUGGCAGGCAGCUCACAACUGUUAACUCCAAUUCUUGGGGUCCAACACCCUCACACAGACAUACACACAUGCAAAACACCAAGACACAUAAAAUAAAAACAAUUAAACGAAUAUAUAUAUGUAAAA